AUUGAACGCUGGCGGCAGGCCUAACACAUGCAAGUCGAACGGUAGCACAGAGAGCUUGCUCUCGGGUGACGAGUGGCGGACGGGUGAGUAACGUCUGGGAAACUGCCCGAUGGAGGGGGAUAACUACUGGAAACGGUAGCUAAUACCGCAUAACGUCGCAAGACCAAAGUGGGGACCUUCGGGCCUCACACCAUCGGAUGUGCCCAGAUGGGAUUAGCUAGUAGGUGGGGUAAUGGCUCACCUUGGCGACGAUCCCUAGCUGGUCUGAGAGGAUGACCGGCCACACUGGAACUGAGACACGGUCCAGACUCCUACGGGAGGCAGCAGUGGGGAAUAUUGCACAAGGGGCGCGAGCCUGAUGCAGCCAUGCCGCGUGUAUGAAGAAGGCCUUCGGGUUGUAAAGUACUUUCAGCAGGGAGGAAGGCGGUGAAGUUAAUAACUUCACCGAUUGACGUUACCCGCAGAAGAAGCACCGGCUAACUCCGUGCCAGCCGCCGCCGUAA
rnacentral:rRNA from 1 species